GACAUUCACUGCAGCAUGACGAUGACGAUAGGAAAUCGGUCUCAGAAAGUGUGAGGUAGUUGUGUAACAGAAUAUCACAUGGAAAUGAACUGAUACUUACUGACAUUUAUUCACAUGGAAAGAUAUCCAUCCCAUAUUGUGGAAUGAGAGCUGCCUGGGGAGCGUGGUGUCACCCUGUAAGUUCAUACUCCCAGAAAAAGACGGGGCGGUGAAUGUAAAAUAUCAAUGAUAGCUCUUUCCGGCUGUGGAAAGCCAGCAUCACAGUCACAGGAGCCGUCACCUGAGGGUCCUUGGCUGCAUCUCCCGUGGACACAAGAACACACUAAGGGGAGAUCGAAGUGGGAUACAGGGCAGAAGAAAACUGUUAAACGUCCUCACUACCGCAGCCCACCGCCAAGUCCUUCAAACAGGCAAACGGACCUCCCUCCAGAGGCUCAGCCGCCCAGAGGCUGAUCCCUUGCUGAGGGCAAAGGUGAUCUCAGCCCAAGCCCCAGGACCUGGAACCUGUUCCCAAGCAUGUGUCCUCCCCGGAGGAAGUCCGGGUCAGAGAAUGCAAACAGCUGAUGAUUUUUGCGAAAUCAGCUUAAAGCCUGUGGCCUGCUGACGGUGAAUUAAUGAUCUGCCGGCAAGGGACAGCACAACUCAAAGGCAAGGCUCUGGGGCCCAGCAAGACAUGCAUUCAAAUAUCAGGCCUCCCCCGGGUGCAACCUCGGGGGAAGCCCUGCAGCCCGGCCUUCACACACAGGCCCACCUGUGAGAGAGGCGCACGUAAGAACUUUCCCCAAACCGUGGAUCACUCCCUUGUCAGUGGCUGCGUUGGUGUAAUUUAUUGGAGCCUCGUUUACAUACAGCUGUGAACAAGAAGAUCGAAUGAAGAGGCUGCUCUAGAUCACCUGUAAGGUCUCUUUCCACCCUCAUGUUAGUUGAUUUGUGACUGAAGAAUCCUGACUCACGACGGUCACAUGAGUCUCACUGGCGAAAAGGCUGUGUGGGCAAGCUCAGCUGUGCCCGGGCGGUGGCCCUGGCGGUCUGAGCACCUGCCCAAACCAGGCACGGAGAACGACCCGCGCUGGCCUCUCAGCACCCUUCUCCGGUAACUUGAGAGACCACUGGGAUGAUUGAGUGAUGCAAAACAAGCAAAUCCAUCCAUUCAUUCAUCAGUAUAAAUAAUAUAAUUGGGAACAAAUUGUUCUUUAAAGAAAUUGGAGGGAUCCCUGGGUGGCGCAGCGGUUUGGCGCCUGCCUUUGGCCCAGGGCGCGAUCCUGGAGACCCGGGAUCGAAUCCCACGUCGGGCUCCCGGUGCAUGGAGCCUGCUUCUCC